ACAACUUUCAACAACGGAUCUCUUGGCUCUCGCAUCGAUGAAGAACGCAGCGAAAUGCGAUAAGUAAUGUGAAUUGCAGAAUUCAGUGAAUCAUCGAAUCUUUGAACGCAUCUUGCGCUCCUUGGUAUUCCAUGGAGCAUGCCUGUUUGAGUGUCAUUAUUA
rnacentral:rRNA from 1 species